rnacentral:lncRNA from 1 species
GAAAGGAAGCUAACCGGUUGCGGCGAGCUCGACCGACGAAUGUGAGUAAGCGUUGCCUUCAACUCUCUCCUUUUCUUUUCUGAAUGGUAGCCGCCAAUCCUCUUCAAAAUUAGGGUUUUUUCAGCUCUUUAACAGUAGCCGCUAAUCUUCUCCUCUUCUUUUCUGAAUGGUGGCCGCUAAUGUUCUCCUAAAACUAGGGUUUUUCAGCUCUCCCCCUGUUAGUGAACAAUGGCCUCCCUUUUAUAGUCACACUGCUAGGGUCUUUUGAAUUGGCCGCUGAGACCAAAGGGGUGUUGGACUUGGAAGUGCUUUUGGUGCUGCCAGUUUGUCUACCCUGUUUUGGUGUUUAUUCUGAAAAAGGUAAUAUGUACCUUGUACUUCUUCUGUAAAAAUGUUUUAUUUUGUUGCUUGUGAACCUUUGCUGCCUUACUAAGUUAUUGUGAUUUUACUGCAGUGAAGUUUCUUGCAACUUUGAGGCUUCUGUUAACCACACUCAACCUUGCAAGAGCAACCUUCUUGAGGUCAGGCCUGUAGUAGUUAUCUGCCACUGGUUUUGAACAGCCUUAGCCAUCCUCCUAAACUCCUUCUUCAUCACAGAUUUAUGAAGCAAAGCGGACGGCUUGUUCUGCUUCCUUGGCUUGGAGAAAGUUAGCAGGCUUCAAGUUAGAGUGCACAAUACGUUCCUCGUGAAUUGUAUUGACAACUUGAAGAAUUUUCGGCCAAUAAAACCGAAGCCAGUUUUCAUCUAUCAUCUCGUUUGAUUCACUCAGCUUCUUCCACUGCUGCGACAACAUGUGAGCUAACUCAAUUUCACCGUAUUCAAACUCAGAGUCGGCACAAGAAUCAAAUGUUUGCACCACACUUGCAGCCUUAUCAACUGAUAAUUUAUUCGAUUUUUCGACACAAGUGUUUACAUUCGUUGAUUCCAUAACUCUUUCAGCUUCUUAGUAGCCUUCUCAGCGGAGGGUGUAGACCACUGACACGGGAG